GGGUCCUUUGCUUGACUCUCCCACUACCCGCACAAGUCAUGUCCAGACACCACCGGCCAGCUGUUGGUGGCUACUGGUGUCCUCUACCCCCAGACUGGGCAAAAGCUGUGUGGGGACUGAGCCCUAGCUACCAGCAGGAGGACUUCCAGAAACCCAGCAGCUCCUGUUAAGUUGUGCAACUUAUUUAGGAUGACAAGCAAAAUAAAGAGAGCUGACUGGUUGCCUAGAAAGAGAUACAAAAUAAUUAUUUUACAUGAAGACGGUAACACUUACAACAAAAGUUUAAGAAAAGUAGGUGGCAACAUAACCAAAGGAGGAAUUUCAAAACUGUGGAAUAAGUAUCAACAGACUCAGUCCAUUCAAAAGCAAACUGGUAAAGAAUUAUUACAAUGACCUGUUUAUUUAGAACUGCCGCCGAAGAAUAAUGUGAUGAAAGACAAUUACCCCAGGUUGUGUGAGCUGAGCUUGGCAUUUUCUUUCAUGAGCCGCAGGGAGCAGUGCGUUUGUUACAGAUGGAUAUCACGUAGAAGCUUGCAGCACCUACAAAUGUUGCCAAUUCAAGCUUAUCUAAUAAAGAUUCUGAUAAUCUAGACCAAACAAAAAGCACUGAAGUCUGAAACUAAAAAAUCCAAUUUGAUUAGCUCUCCUCUGGUCCUGAAUUCACCAUCGUUUAUAAAUUUAAUUCAGAGAGAUGUUCUUACCCGUCACACAGAGACACAGAAUUGGGAGAGCAAGAAAAGGGGUCGGGGACUGAGAGAGAGAGAGAAAGGGAGACAAUAACAAAAUUUAUUGGCGCAACAACUGUAUCUUCUUAAAAAAGCAGAUGGGUGAAGAAUACAUCAGCAGUCAUCUUCAGUGUUAAAAGUGUUAAUCCUGCAUGUAAUAUUAUUAAUAUAGAGCUACUCACUCAUAAAUUCAUUUGUCAACAACCACCAAUUCAUGAUCACUAUGCAGAAGGCAAAUGUAAUCCAUUGCACAGUAUUGUGAGUGAACAUUUACAUUAAUAGUCUUGCAUAUAUUGCAUAACUCAGCAUUUCUGUUAGUAAUGUCUGAUUUAAAUGUCAACGGAAGAAUAGAAGAAUAUA